AUCUCGGCCUAUUCUUUUCUUGGCGAGUUGGAAUACAGACGUGUGCAUCUCCGAAAGCCUAAGCCGAAGGAGUUAACAACGCCUCGUGGUCUUUUGUGGAGUCACCAGUUCCUCUGCCUGCGUGUGCAGCAGGGCAUUUGAAGGAAGCGAUAGCGAUUAAAUCGGUUGUUGUGGGAGGCUUCUCUGCCAUUGUCUUCGCCAGUGGGUGGUUGUGUAAGGCAGCAGUGCUGUCGGAUAGACUGCGUGAGGAUCCCAGUCAAAGCCUAAAGUUGCUAAAGCGAGGCAUUUCUGCCAGUAUUCUCAGCAUUGUGCCACUGGAGCGUGGUUGUGGCUGCGCAAGGCAGCGGAUUUAUUGUUUUGGGGAGAAACCUUGCAUCGGGCGCUCGGCGAUAGAGUCCCUGAGGGGUGUUCCUGUGGACGCCACCCCUGCAGGAAGACUAGAAGACCUGUAAGGAGUUUCAAGAGGAUCACCAUGGACGAUUAAAAUUGUGACCAGUUUCUUCUUCAUUCGGAGUCGUCUCCUCGAGGGAUCACCAACGUGCCGUGAGGAGUUUCUACUGAGGAGGUGGCUUGGUGACCCGUAGCUGAUUAGUGAUUGUGUGAAGAGGAACCGCAGCUCCAAAGCCGGUUUUAACCUCGUAAGGUCUUCUCGCUACCAGCCAUUAGGGAGCACCCAUGUCUCCGCCAUAGAGUCGCGUGUGCGCCUAUAACAUUUGACCAGGAGAUUCCUGCUAGCCACAUUUUCGUUCGCUAGACUCCAGUAGAACAGGAACUUCGUUCAGCCGUUGGAUGCCUUUAUCCAGAAAAUACAGUAUUUUAUUCGAGCCGUAUACCUUCGAUAAUUUGAUGAUUUAAAUGCCAGUGAGUCUUUAAGACUAGCAGAUAAGGGCUUUCCGUAUCGGUCAGCAGAGCUGUGUCUAUUUAGUGGGACCUAUUUAGUCGCCAGGACAACAACAAAUGGACGGGAAGCCUGUCCUUAAUUGAAUUCCUACGUAUAUAUAUCUGCCUAAAAAUUGAUUAAGUUUACAUUUUAGUUGCUAUGAUUUAAGUUGUCCGUUCAAAGUAAUAUCUUUAAUUGCAUAGGUCAAGAGUUGUUAGGGAAAUUCUUAUAGGAUACCUUCUCGUGCUGAACAAAUGGCUCGCGUGAUUUCUCAUUUCUUUCAGAUUAUACCAUCGGAAGAUCGAUCUUCGUCGUUGGACAUGAAAUUGAACAAUGAGUUGUUGAAACCAAAGUAAGAAUUUUCUGACGUCUCUUAAAGAUAACUUGCCGCGACUAACGUAACGAUGAUGAUGAAGUUACUCCGAUUAGAGUUGAACGAUUUUUGUUUAAAGUAUUGAAUUAAAAGAGUCUACAUUUUGAAUAUGACUUGAGUCGAAAACCUUAACAAAAGAAAUUUUAGUGAAUAAUUAUGUGGCGUGUGCCCAUUAAGAAUUUAAGAGUAAACUAAUGAAAUUGUGUAGAGUCGAAAUUCUCAUAAGCAUUGAAUUAAUAGUCUAAUUUUUGAAUACGACUUAAGUCGAUAACACUAAUAAAAGGGAAUUUUAGUAAAUUAUAAUGUGGCGAGUGCCAAUAUCAAUACGAGAAUAAACAUUGAAGUAAACUUUA